GGCUGUGAGCGGUGGCUGAUGAGAGAAGCUAAAGAGAGGAACCUCAAAAUUGAACAGAUUGGUAAAUCCAAGCCUUAGGGUUUAUAUGCUCUUUGUUCUAACAAACACGUCUGGCCCUUAAUUACUUUAACAGACCGAUGUUUUUAUGUGGCACCAGACAAGGUAGGGCAGCUCUAGGACUUGGUAUGCUUGCAUUGGUGCUUCUCUCAGACUGUUUGUGCGUUUCUGUAGUAGCAUAACAUCCUAGGCAGUGGCUUCCCAAUAAUCUCCUCAUGUCAAACGAUGUUAAUGCUUAGACCUGGUCACAGUGGUGAAUAUAAAUGAUUUGUCGUUAGGGCUGCAUGUCUGAAUUUUCACUGUCUGCAGUGAAGCUUCUCAAGUUACGGAUCCCAUCCCACUGGGAAAGUCUGCCCUUUCUGUUGCAGAGUGGGAAGGUACGUACAGUGUCCAUCUCUUCUGGAGUGUUUCCCUUCCUGUUGCUGACUGUUUCAGUCGGUGUCACUCCUGCACUCUGGUAGCGUUGAUGCUUGAGAAAUGGGCCUUGGAGGGGGUGGGGUGGGAGGUGUGUGUCCGAAUCGAGUUUUUGCCUUGCUGUGCUUUUACAGCAGAAUGUAAGUUCUGCAUGUGAAGUAUUUAAGUCAUGUUGUUACUGGCAUUCUGUGUGACCACGUCUUGAAAUGAAAUCGUGGAGAAAAGCAUCGUCUGCCAAGCUGUAGAGACGGCGUUAAUAGCACAUAACGUGUGACAAGGCCAAGGGUUGUAGAGAGCUCUCACAGCACUGGGGUUCUUUUCAGUAAGGCUGCAGACUGUGGGCUGAAGGAUGAGAGAAAUAAGCACCUGCCUUGGAUUUUCACGCAGAUAUGGAAUGAAGGGGCAUUUCAUAGCAAAUGGAUGAAGAGAAGAGACCUCCAUCCUGUGACUACUUCGCUUCCUGACCUCUGGUGGCAGCUGCAGGGAUGAAGCACUAACAGGAACACGUUAG